AGAGACAGCAGUCGCCGCGGUAAUACGAAGGGGGCUAGCGUUGCUCGGAAUUACUGGGCGUAAAGGGCGCGUAGGCGGAUGUUUAAGUCAGAGGUGAAAGCCCAGGGCUCAACCUUGGAACUGCCUUUGAUACUGGACAUCUUGAGUGUGGGAGAGGUGAGUGGAACUCCGAGUGUAGAGGUGAAAUUCGUAGAUAUUCGGAAGAACACCAGUGGCGAAGGCGACUCACUGGCCCAUUACUGACGCUGAGGCGCGAAAGCGUGGGGAGCAAACAGGAUUAGAUACCCCAGUAGUCCCUGUCUCUUAUAA
rnacentral:rRNA from 1 species